CACUGGAGGUUUUUAAGGAGAGACUGGACAGCCCCUUGUCUGAAAAGGUUUAGGGUCUCCUGCUUGAGCAGGGGGUUGGACUAGAAGACCUCCAAAGUCCCUUCCAGCUCUGUUCUGAUUGAUGGGCGGUUUUCUUGCAUACGUUUCACGGCCCAGCCAGGUAACAUUAUCAGUGCUAGAAGGGAAUGUGGGGUACUGGUAGCUCAAAAGUUGAAUGAGGGGUCCUUGGGGCUUUGAACUGGGCUGUUUUCUGGGAGACAUUUCAUUACCAAACUAGGGAAUAUCAUGAGUGGAUUACAUGGGGCAGCAUGGGAUGGGGUAGCCCACAGAAGUCAAUCAUGCUACAGGAGUCUUCCAUUUGUAACUCGCUUUUUCAUAAACACCAAACUCUGAAGAAACGUAGGUGCCUAUCUCAAACUCAAAAAAAGCCACCACAUACAGGUAGUCCUCGACUUACGACCACUUACAACGGACUCCCCCACAGUUACUUAUAACCCAGAUUUGAAGUUACGAUAGCCCCUCCCAUAGUUACAUGGUCACCUCUUGGGCGCUUGGGAGCUGACUGGCAUUUACAGCCGUUUACAAUGUCCCGCCGUCACGCAACCACAAUUUGCAAAGCUUGGGGCUGAAAACCAUUGUCCCCAGCAAAAAAUAAAGAAAAUAAAAAAAUCAAUGGAUUUGCUUAACAGCCAACCUGCUUGCUUUAUGGCCUCCAACCGCUUUCCGUUAACAACCGUCACAAAAGCAUUAUCAGGGCGAGGUCACGCGGCAACCUCAUUUAAACGACCAGCGUGACUUAUGACUAGAAUUCCAGACUCAAAACAGUCGUAAGUUGAGGAUUACCUAUAUAUUAAAACACCUCCAGCCGUACCCCCAUAUAAACAAGAAGAGUCAAAGACGCGGUUUUGUAUGUUUUAGCAGCACAACUUUUUUUUUUCUCCUUGAUUUUCAACGUCAGUUUAACUUGUAUUUACUUCAAGUGAGGAAGGCUGGCUCUCAAGAGUAUAUAGUAUACGCUGCUUGUGCGUUUCGUUCUGCCAUGAUUGCCAAAUCAACUCCAUUCUUUGCAACAAAACCAAAAAAGAAAAAAAAGAUAAAGGUAACCUGAAACUUCCUUUACCGGCUAACCUUGUUUGUUUGCUUUGAACACUGCAAGAAUGCAAAGAGGCAGACAGGCUUCUGCAAAAUCCAUUAAAAAGGAGGGGGGGGGAACCCUGAGGUUUCUGUAGUUCUGUUUUAGCUCUACAGCAGAGUUUCUCGACCUCUGCAACGUUAAGAUGUUUGGACUUCAAUGCCCAGAUUUCCCUAGCCAGCUGUUGAAGUCCAAACAUCGUCAAGCCGCAGAGGCUGAGAAAAACUCUGCAAGGCAAGUUAAGAACUCUGCUUCUUGUUAUCCCUGGGCUGUGUGAAGAUGCAGAAAUGGUUCCCCAAAAUCCAUUUAACCGAGUCUAUUGGGGGGAAGCGGUGUUUCAAGACCUCAGGAACUUUUUACAAGGGUGGACUUUGACUCCCAGAAUUCCUCAGCCCAGCCAUGCUGAAGUUUCUGAGGUUGAGGAACACUCUUCUAAACUAGGGGUCUUCAAACUUGGCCCUUUUCGGACUUGUGGACUUCAACGCCCAGAAUUCCUCAGCCAGGCACAAGUCAUAAAAGGGCCAAGUUUGAAGACACCUGCUCUAAACAGUUCCAGAUACCAGGGAUGGAUAUGUUUGAUCUGAAAAAAAAAAAAAAAA